rnacentral:rRNA from 1 species
AAUAGAUACCCGGGUAGUCCCAGCCGUAAACGAUGCUCGCUAGGUGUCAGGCAUGGCGCGACCGUGCCUGGUGCCGCAGGGAAGCCGUGAAGCGAGCCACCUGGGAAGUACGGCCGCAAGGCUGAAACUUAAAGGAAUUGGCGGGGGAGCACAACAACGGGUGGAGCCUGCGGUUUAAUUGGACUCAACGCCGGACAACUCACCGGGGACGACAGCAAUAUGUAGGCCAGGCUGAAGACCUUGCCUGAAUCGCUGAGAGGAGGUGCAUGGCCGUCGCCAGUUCGUACUGUGAAGCAUCCUGUUAAGUCAGGCAACGAGCGAGACCCAUGCCCACUGUUACCAGCAUAUCCUCCGGGAUGAUGGGUACUCUGUGGGGACCGCCGGUGUUAAAUCGGAGGAAGGUGCGGGCCACGGUAGGUCAGUAUGCCCCGAAUUUCCCGGGCUACACGCGGGCUACAAUGAAUGGGACAAUGGGUCCCUACCCCGAAAGGGGCUGGUAAUCUCACAAACCCAUCCGUAGUUCGGAUCGAGGGCUGUAACUCG